rnacentral:snRNA from 1 species
GGAUGUGAGGGUGAUCUGGCUGCAACACCUGUCACCCCUUUGAUCACCAGGGUUGAUUCGACUGAUCUGGCUGGCUAGGCAGGUGUCCCCUUCCUCCCUCACUGCUCCAUGUGUGUUCCUCCCGAAGCUGCAUGCUGGGUCAAAGAGCACUACCUUCCCCGAUAGAGGAGGACUGGUCUUUGGUCAAGGGUGUACCAGUAGCUGUGCUCCCAAACAAGCUCUCAAGAUGGUGGAUUUUAUUUAUUAAAGAAAUCUACUCUGCUUUUGGGAAAAUGGAAUUGAGU